rnacentral:lncRNA from 1 species
AAAAAAAAAAGAAAAAAAGAAAGAAAAGGAAAAAAGAGGAAAAGAAAAAAAAAGAAGAUAAAGAAGGGAAUAAGGAUUUAAAGAAUUAUUAAAGAGGUGAUUAUUAAAAUGUAGAUUAUAUUGUAUUAUGAAUCAAUGUGACGGUGCGAGAACAUUGUGAUCAAGGAUGAACCGUGCGUGUUCAUGCACCUUUUCGAUGUACAUAGGUGCUAGUUUUGUACAUAAUUAUAUCACAUCGUAUGCGUGAUCCUUUUUAUUUUAUAUUUUUCUACGAAUCGCGUGAGACUUAAGGAAUUUUCUUCUCAAAUAUUCUUUGCAACCGUGUGCUUGAUUUUUUCAUGGAUCAUUUUCCAUUUGUAUAUUCGUUUUAAGGGAACGAUAUUGAUCUCAAUCGACAAGCCACGAAACUUUUCUUCUUUAUGACGUUGACUACGAAUGAUAUCUUUCUUUCUCUUUUCUUCCUUUUUUUUUUUUUCGCGUCAGACGGUUUCAACGGUUGCGCGAACGCCGAGACAUAUUUAUCUGCGUGAUAAAGAGAGGAAAGAUUCAUUUUUUACUGCGUCUAAGGUAAUUCGGUUUUGUCCUUGGUCACGAUGAUCAUAAAUGGAGCCUGCUCUACAUUAUUGUACUAUAAAGUGAAAGAGUCUUGCCAAAUAGCCGCGCCACUGCCUCGACAUUUACUUUUGUUUUAUUAAGUGAACGAAUGGAGAUUGAAAAUUUCAAUUUCGCGUAUAACACAUUUUUUCCUCUCUUGAAAAAAAAUAAAAAAGAAAAAAAAAAAAAAAAAAUAAUUGUCGAACAGUGUCGUAGUGUUACGUGUGUCAGGCUCCUCUUUCUUUCUUUUUCCUUAUGCAAUCGAAUAUUGCAUAAUGUUGUAAAUAGAGAAUUAAUUGUCAACACACGGAAUAUCGAAAGAAUAUCGAUGAAGAGGGAAGAGAUAAAAGGAACCGUUUGUUAUACUUAAUUUAAUUGUAGGACCAAAAAACGUUUGAUGAUUCGUUAUUGUGUAAAGGACACCAUCGUUCGAGUGUAAUUUCUAAAUGUUUUAAUAAUAAAAAAAAGCUGCGUAAAAAGUCACGGAGCUAAAGGACUACUCUUCGAAAUUGAAUAAAGUCUUCGAAGAUGAAACUUUCUUCAUGGAUCAUUAGUGAACCAUAAUAAUGAAUGAAAAAUGCAAAUUUCUUCAUGGGUUAUCGGUUAAUCUAUGACAUAAAAUUCAUCAAAGGAAAAUGAAAAUUUCGUCUGGAUCACUAGUGAAUCAUAAUAUUUAUGAAAAUGGAUAUAUUUUUUUUGUGAGUGUCAUUGACGAUCUAUGAUCAGUCACCGAAGAUUAAAAAUGCAAAUUGAAAUUGAAAAAAAAAAAAAAAGUGAAAUUUUCAUUCAUCAGAAAGUGUGAAUGUUAAGUAUGAAUGUUAUGAAUUUAAUAAUACUCCUAUUUUAUUAGAAUUUAAUAUAUUUGUUUUGUAAUUUAAUUUUUUAAUUUAAUCCUUAAAAUAUUUAAAAAAAAUUUCUGUUUUUCUCAGGAUAUAGGAAUAUAAGAAAAAAAAAAAAAAAGAAGAAAAAAGGGAGAAAGAGAAAAUGAAAAGAAGAAAAAAUAGUUCAAUUGCUUAACGUUUUGAGCACAUUCAGAUUUUAUUUAGUCGUGUGCGAUAGUCUUUGACAGGCAUAUUUUCAUACAUAGUAGCUAUAUCAAAAGACUAGAAACCAGUUUCACUCUUGUUACAAUGGAUUCUCAUGUUCGUUUUUUUUUUUUUUUUAAACACAGCACUCUCGAAUUAUCUUGAAUAUUAAUUGAUUUUUGUACGUACUAUCUAUUUAUAUCACGUAUCUCGCUUGUGUAUUUUUUGUUUCACCAAGAAAAUAUCUGUUUUUGUAAAAUGCCAUUGCUAUUCACGACAAAAUUUUAUCUAUUACUUCAUCAUGAAUAAGUUAAAAAUUAGUAAACAGAAGAUUCUUUGGAUUUUUUUUUCUCGUUUUUUCCUUCUAUGGAUUAUUAAUCAAAUAACAGAAAAAUAGAAAAAAAAAGAAAAAAAGAAUACGUCAAUUUUUGCAAAGAUCCGUGUAAAGAAAAAAAGAAGAGAAGAAGGGAUGAAAAAAUAACAAAUAACAAAUAAUCUUUCAAUUCCAAGAAUGCGAGAUCGCGUGAUCAUUUUCUGCGUCAGAGAUGCAAUUUUUGGAUUGGCUUGAAUGAUGCAACGAAAUCGUUAAUUUAAUAGGCAUUGAUUUACCUUGGUUAUCAUUCGUUAAUGUCGUCGAUUGAUUCCACGCGUCAUCUUGGAAACGAGUGGGAUAGAAAUACGAUGUGUCAUCCAAGAGUUUUAUUCUCUUUUUUUUUCUUUUUUCUUUUUUUUUUUAUUAUAAAUUUGCAUCAUAUUUUUCUUUAUUUUUCUUCUUUUCCUUUUUCUUUAAUAUAUAAAAAUGCCCAUCUUUCGGCGUUACUUUUUUUCAAAAAUUUCGAUAUCCAUUCUUUUAUUUUUCACCAGUUUUAUCCAUCGGAUUAUCCUAAUUAACGUAUCGAGAUGUAAUACAAAAAAGAUUGUCAAAAUUGAAUCCGUGCACCAUCGCUUAUUCUUUCAAUUUCUCGUUCUCUUCUCUUCUCUUCUCUUCUCUUCUCUUUCUCUUCUCCACGGUAAAAUUCGACAAAGGUCGUCUAACUUAUCGCCAGUCUAACUAACUAGCCAUUGACUACUCGUCUAACGUGUUUUUUUCUAAAGACUCGACGACAGUCUUGGGAUUAAAAUCUGCAAACUUUCAGCCUUCGACUCGGUGAUCCUAAAUGUAUCUUCGUCUAUUCGAGCAAAUGUUUGAUUUCACAUUACUUUCUUGACUUUUGAUUUUCUAGGCAGAUGGACAGCAAUCACAGCAGAUAAAUCACACCAUGUACCGUUUCAUUCCAUCGACUGAUUCCAAGCUUUUCCAACUCAGAAGCUUUCCCCUCUUCGGUCGUGUACAGUCAUUGUACUUCCCAGAAUUACAUCCUCUAAAAUCUUCCUGAUGAAUCUCACAGAAUCUACAGGUAUGCUCUCAAGAGUGGUGGACGUAAGCCGUCAAAUGAGCAAGCACAAUUUAUUCCGACUCUUCCUGUCAGGAAUCAGGGCCUUGGAUUUGGCAGCGUCCUCUGGAGCGUUUCUCGCGUAAAUUGGCCUGCUAAGUCUGUGC